rnacentral:rRNA from 1 species
UACAGGAGGGUGCAAGCGUUGUUCGGAAUUAUUGGGCGUAAAGGGCGCGUAGGCGGUGCGGUAAGUCUGUAGUGAAAUCUCUGGGCUCAACUCAGAGUCUGCUGCAGAAACUGCCGUGCUUGAGUGUGGGAGAGGUGAGUGGAAUUCCCGGUGUAGCGGUGAAAUGCGUAGAUAUCGGGAGGAACAUCAGUGGCGAAAGCGACUUCCUGGACCAGUACCGACGUCAGCACGAAAGCGUGGGGAGCAAACAGG